rnacentral:rRNA from 1 species
UGAUUUUAGUUAGACCAACACUAAUGCAUCGGAUCCCAUCUGAACUCCAAAGUCAAGCGUGCUUGAGCAAGUGUAGUACUAGGAUGGGUGAUCUCCUGGGACGUCCUUGUGUUGCACCAC